GAGCAGCUUUGGCCCACAGAGAAAGAGGAGCAAAAAUAGAGUUUAUAAAGUUUAUAAACCAGAAACUUCACACAGCGCACAUUACCGGAGGAAUCUGAUCAGAAAUCGGCGACAAAUGAUCAACAUCUGCGGUCCAGAUUCCAGGUUUUCCUGACGGUUUCUCUCAGAUCCAUCUGUGAGAAAUGACCGACAGAAUCAUCCCAGAGGAGAGCAGACAGCUGAGAGCAGACAGCUGAGAGCAGAUAGCUGUGAGCAGAUGGGAAAUACAGAGCUAACCCGUUAGCAUGUAGCUACAUGCUAACGGGUUAGCUACAUGCUACCGCUAUGUGACGGUGUGUAAACAGAGCGACCAUCAGGGUGGAAAAUAGAAGAUGUGAAACAGUAGUCAGUUCAUUAUUUCUGGUAAAAGACACCUGAUAAAUGUAUGGAAGAUCAGAGUAAUGGUAUAUUAUUUACAGUAGGAGCUGUCUCUGUGUUACCAUGACUACAGACCACCGGAGCUUAGCUUACUGUAGUUUACCAGA